GACGAACGCUGGCGGCGUGCUUAACACAUGCAAGUCGAACGGUGAAGUAGAGCUUGCUCUAUGGAUCAGUGGCGAACGGGUGAGUAACACGUGGGCAACCUGCCCCAGACUCUGGGAUAACUCCUCGAAAGAGGGGCUAAUACCGGAUAUUUGCAUUGCAAGACAUCUUGUGAUGCAGAAAGCAUUUCGGUCUGGGAUGGGCCCGCGGCCUAUCAGCUUGUUGGUGAGGUAACGGCUCACCAAGGCGACGACGGGUAGCCGGCCUGAGAGGGCGACCGGCCACACUGGGACUGAGACACGGCCCAGACUCCUACGGGAGGCAGCAGUGGGGAAUAUUGGGCAAUGGGCGCAAGCCUGACCCAGCAACGCCGCGUGAGGGAUGAAGGUCCUCGGAUUGUAAACCUCUUUCAGCAGGGACGAAGCGAAAGUGACGGUACCUGCAGAAGAAGCACCGGCUAACUACGUGCCAGCCGCCGCGGUAA
rnacentral:rRNA from 1 species